CAUCACCAUCUACCUAGCCCUGCUGCCUGCUGUGGCUUUGUGCCUGGAGCCUACCUUCUAUUCUAAGUAAGAAUGAUGGAGCUUGGGAGAAUUCUCUCAAAUUGCCCUGUAAAUCUUCGCCAGCACACAACUGGUAACCUAGGAACUACAUCCGUGCUAUUUUCUGCACUCCUGGUUUCCUAUACUAAUUCUUGAACAGACAGCAGGAAGAUUUGCUGAGCACCUACUGUGUGCACUUUUCUAAUGGGACCGUACUGACUGUGCACUACGACAGCGGGGGAAACGCUUCCUGCCCUCAGGAGUCUGCAGUUGCCUCUUAAGCUCCUCCAGCUGCUGGGUGAGGGCCUGCUUGCCUUUGGUUAGCUGUGAAAUCAGAGACUCCUU